ensembl:lncRNA
CUGCAGAGUGUGCUGUGGAGCUCAAUUCACAGGAGCUUCUGGGGCUUCUGGAGCCACACCAGGGGCGAGGCGUGCUGGGGCCUGGAGGCCUGCCGGGCCCCUUCACAACUCCCCAGGAAAUGUCUCCAGAGGGUGGUACUGAGGGCUUCGAGGAGGCCAGGGGACUUCCCCAGGAUUCCACUUCAGUGUGCUGGGGAGAGCUCCCUGGGGUGCCCUGCACGCUAGCCCAGGAACCGGAAGAAAAGCUUCCUUCUCACAGCGUCCCUCCAGCACGCCCUACAGACUUUAAACUGAACCUCACGCUUGUGGGUAGCACUGGCCAGAUGUGUAGCUGAAUCAGAAAAUUGACGAUUUUCCGCAGCACAGGGGGCCAUUGAGAUGCAAUUGUUCUAUCUUCUAGGUGUGAACCAUUUGGUGCAUUUUCAGCCUUGCCUUAAGAACCAUUGCUUUUCUCCCUUGUGCCUCAAGAGACAAUGUUGUAGGAAAUCUGGACCGGGAAAGACCAAAUCCUCAAAAGAGGUGGAGGAAAACCAAGGCUUUAUUGACCAGCUGGCCCAGUGGAGCUAAGUACUCGGUAAAGACCUGGGCCCCAACAUGUAAAAAAUGGGGGAGUUUUAUACAGUAGUUUAAGUGGGAGAGGGUUUGGGAUGAGUGAUAAUGUGACUGUCUUCAGGUUGGGGCUUUCUUUAGGAACAGGAUAUUCACAUAAUAACAGAACAUUAGGGUUAACAGAGAGAACAUAACAGGACACAUAUUGUGAAUGCUAAAGCUAACAGUAUACAUAUAUAUAUAUAUACAUAUAUAUACAUACAUAUAUACUAUAUAUACAUAUAUAUAUAUAUUGUGAUGGCUUACAUUGUGAUUAAAGUAUCACCUAUUGGGAGGGGUUACAGGUCUGCCUAUUUCUGGGUAAAUAGGAACAAAAUAAGGGCCUAUGAGAAUUCUCAAGGCUUGAAGGCCUAAAAGUUUAAAAUUUCUGCAUGAACAAUAAUUACGAUAGACUUUUGGUAUUGAUGAACAAAAAGGGACUGUAGGAUUUAGGACUUCCUUCUAGUUUUAGUGUAGUCUCUGAUUUGAAUAAUUAGCACCGUACACCUGGGGCCAGUUCUAAACUACAUAAGACAUACUAGAGAUAAUUAAAUGGAGAAUUCAGCUAAAGCAAAGUGAAGGAUUUAAAGGGAGAAAAUUCAUUGCUGUCCAAUAGCACAGUACUAGCCACAUUGGCAUUUGAGCCAUUGAUACAUAUAGUGCAGAUGAGAAACUAAAUUUUUAACUUAGCUUGAAUUCAUUUGAAAAUAAUAUUUAUUUUAGUUAUUAGAAAAAUUUUUAGGUAAAUUUGAAACAAAUGAAAGGAUCGUGUGGGAGGUUUUAUGGUCCAGGCUUGAAGAGGGUGUACUUCACUCUGCCACCAUUCAAUAACUAAAUCAGGGAGACAAAACUUUCUCUGUAUUCUUUUUUUUUUCCUCUCUGUAUUCUUUUAUGUUUAGUGUUUGGGAGCCUGCAAAUUAAACCGACAAAGGACAGAUUAGCAAGAGAAAAGAUAGAUUUUUAUUCACAUUCAUAUGUGAGAAUUCACAGAGAAAUGUAAUUCAAGGAGACAGACUUUAGGGCUUCUAUACCAUCACAAUAGGAGAAAAGGCAGAGGAGAAAGGUACUUACAGGAAGACAAAUGACUUCUUAAUGGGAUUGGGGAGAGAAAGGGGAUUUAUAGGAAAACAGAUUACCCUUGGGAAUGAUAAAUGGCCUCUUAAGAGAAUGGAUGGGUGAUAUGAUACUUUUGUGACUACACCUGUUUAGGCAAUUUCUUAUGCUGGUACAGACUUCUCUCUAGUGAUAGGAGUUGAUCUUUCCUGGUUAUAAAACUCAAAGGGAAGGGGUUUAUGACAGUUAAAUUCUUUUGACAGGCUCUGUUUUUAUACAGGUAAGAGGAAUUUAGAAAAAUAAUUUUUCUGCCUCUGUUGAGUCUCAAAUGCCUUUAGCUCAAAAUUAAUUUUAUGUCAUGGUGGCUGUAUUUUGAGCCCCUUCAGCUAGAACUCAUUACUUAGUCACAAGGGAGACCUUGCCCACGAGGAAAAGGAAAACAAUUUCACGCACAGCUAGGCAGGCUCUGUCUCAUGAGGCUUAGGUAGGAUUAAACCCACUUGGGGCACCAGAGGAGCCCUGUGUGCUUCAAGUCAGCCAGUUUAUGCCAUUUUGGUGGACAUCAUGAUUAGUUCAGAGUUAGGGAUGUGAUCUUGGCUGAUUCAGUUGGAGUGAACCUCUAGAACUUUGCAGAGGAUGUCAGGACACAGACUCCAUUCCUUGAGGUAGAUCUUGGGCUGCUGGGAGUCACAGUCAGGAGCCUGACUGUGGGAGGCCUUCAGAAGAGACAGAGUCAAGCUAUCAAUGCUGGUGAUGCCAUUUGAGGUCUAGGUCUAGACCAGUUUGAAGACAGGUGGUGUAGUCAUGUGACCCAAUACAUUCUCUUUUAACCUAGCCUAGUUUGAAUAUUUCAUUGCUUGCAACAAAUAGAACUCUCCUCCCUAUGGUGUACUACCAUAAGUGGGUUCUUUGGUUUUAAAAUCAAGAUCUAUUCAAGCUAUCUCAUGAAAAUAGAGGUGGACAUAUAUGGAAUAAAAGUAGAUUCCGGCAGAGAACAACUCCAGAAACCACUGACUCUCUCCACCCUCUCCAUGUUCCUGUGGUUUCAUUCAUUCUUAUAUCUCUGUUUCUCUGUGAGCAUCUGUUCUGUGAGUCAUAUUGUGAUUUUCACUCAGCCAGUAUAUGAAGAUAACCAUAUGUCCACUGUCAUGAGCCAGGCUUACUUUGUACAGCUUGUUCUAGCAUCCUUCCUGGUUUAGUUAUUUGUCCUUGAUUUUCAUUUUUAAUGACACGAUGUUAUUAAGAGUAGAAUUAAAAUAAACCAGAACAGCUCUGGGAGACUUUCUCCAAAGCUUUGCCUUUAUAGCUUUUACCAUGGUUUUGUCUAAUAAAAUAUGAGGUGCAAGUACAGUGGACUUGGUAUCAUUUAAAACCAUGGUUAAAUUUGAAAGAACCCCACCACAUAGCAUUUCAUCCAACUAUAACAGAAUACACAUUUUUCUUAAUAGCUUAUAGAGCAUAUUCUAAAAUAGACCAUAUCUGAGUUCAUAAAUCAUGCUUAAAUAAAUAAUACAAAAUAAUUGAAAUGACCCCCUUCAUACUAUUGGAUCAUAGUGGAAUGAAGCUAGAAAUCAACAGAAAAGGAAGACAGAGUUUAAAUAAUACAUUAUUGAAUAAUCAAUGGAUCACAGAAGAAAUCAGGGAAAAAUAAAAAUGUUCCUAGAAUCAAAUGACAAUGGAAGCAUAACAUACUAAAACCUAUGGGAUACAAUGAAAGGAGUUCUACAAGGUAAGGUUAUAGCUACAGAUGCACACAUAAAAAGAACAGAAUGAUCCCAAACAAAUAACCUAAUGAUGCAUCUCAGGGAAAUAACUGGUAAAAAUGAACUGCUAAGUCUAUUGCAAAGUGAAGAGUUAAUACUUGAAAGCAGAAGUCUCGAUUAAGUAGCAUCUACAAAAGGCAAGAACAAUCCAAAUCUGAAACUAAUAGAAGGAAAGAAAUUAUAAAGAUCAGAACAAAAUUAAUGAAAUUGAGACAAAAAACAAUACAAAAAAUCAAUGAAUCAAAAAGAUGGUUCUUUCAAGGGUUGGGAAGGGGGGUCUGGGAUGAAGAAGAUGAGAGGUACAGGAGGGGAAGGGAAAGUAAAAGGGAUUAAGAUGUGAUAGUUCAUUCACAAUGCAUAUAUUUACUAUGUAUUACAAUACUAUACUAAUAAGAAAUCAAAAAUAAGAAGCCCAUCACAAUCUGUCUCUCAUUUUCAGACCCAUUCUUAAUGCAAAAUAACUGACAUCCCUCCUCAAGGACUGUAAACAAACUAAAGCAUGCAUUUAGCUAGGGAUGGCUUUAGCUAGCCCCUUGACCUGGUUUUCCACGGGGGACGUAGUUCAGUGCUGGUUCUGCUGGCCAAUGGCUCUAUCAGCAAGUUGUGCUGUGGCCUGAGCCUUUGAGAUAUACAGUUCUUACAAGGUCACUGAGACAUUUGGAGAAUUAUUAGGUGAGGUACAUGAACCAAGUGCAGAAAAUUGAGGGCCAGGAGAACUGGCACAGAGCUUAUGAAAAAUGUUUGGAAUGUUCUCGUUAAGGUGUUGUUAUAAUUUUUUUUGAAUUUUAAUUUUUGUUAGUACAUGUUUGCAUUACAUAAUGAUUACAUUCAUCAUGAGGAGUUGGUACAUGUACUAACAGAUCUCAAUUCUUUUUUUAAUCCUCUUUUCCUCCCCUCUCUCUCCCUCGGUGCAUCUCUUGAUCCCCUUCCCAUUUGAAAAAUUUCCGUACUUCCUAUUCUCUACAUUUUAUUUUGCACUUUAUUUAUAUUUUGGGCUUCUCAUAUAAGGCAAACCAUAUGAUUUUCAAGCUGUGUGUCUGACUUAUUUCACUUAACAUUGUAAUGUCUUAUGUGGUAUAAAAUCUGUAUGUCAUUAUCUUGUUUUUAGUAACACUUUUGUAUUUCUUACUAAUUCUAUUUAUAUGUUUCAAUCUUUUUUUCUUUCGGUGUCUUCCAGAUGGUCAAAGAUGAACCCCUAUGCAGCAUCUUCAUUUGGUUAGUUUUCUGCUUUAGACAAUCAUUUCCAUCACCUGUUGUCUCCAGCUUUGAGAGAACCUACUGGAAAUAGUGUUCAUAAAAAGGGCUUAGGCAGGACCUGUGAAAAUGUGGGAAGGUCACUGUGAUUGAAAAGAAUGCUGUGAACAAACAGUCCAGACUGCCUCCUCCUGGGCAUGUGGCAGGAUGGUGUUUCUUUACCUCCUUUGAAGUUAGGUGUAGCCAUGUGACUUCCUUAGGUCAAUGAGAUGAGAACAGGAAGUGCUGCAUGCCACUUCCUGCAGAAGCUUGAUCAGCCACCAUAUUCUUUUUUCCUGCUGUGUUGGUUGAGAAGCACAUUUGGAAAGGAAUCCAUUAUUAGCUUGCAUCCUGAACUGUCUAAAACUUUCCAAUAGCAUUUCUCUGCCCCCAACCUACAUUAGACAUGUAGUGUGAAUGAGAAAUAAAUGUUUGUUGUGUUAAGCACUGAACUUGGAGAUUAUUACUGCAGCUUAGCCUGACUGAUACAGUCACUGAAAACUGGGUUUGACAGGGUGAAUACAUUUCAACUCAUCUGCUAGGUUAUUUAAUAGAACUGCAUUUUCAAAUCUUCUGCGGCAUAUACAAAAUAUGUUAGACAGGGUGCUUGGCAACAUUUCCCUGGCUGAACUGAGAGCUAUUUUUUUUUUUUUGGACAGGAAAUAAAUUUACUUUUGGCUCUUCUAAUUUUUCCUUUCUUUUUUUUUUUUUUGGUAUUGGGGAUCGAACUCAGGUCCUUGCGCUUGCACAGCAGGCAGCAAUUUUUUCUUUUUCAUGUGAUCUUUUCCUGGGAAACAGUGAAAUUGCAGAGCCAAUCAUGUGGCUCCUGGACAUAGGAAGAUAUCUGGGAAAAGAGCAAAGGAGAACACCAAACACCUUCUCCACACUGAAUUUAUUUGCUCGCUUUCUGCCUGGAGUCAAUAUUUCUUUAACUGAAUAAUCUCAAUUCUCCUUUUCUUACUGUGGCUUUUUCCUGCUCGGUAAGUCACAAAUGCUAUGUUUGGAGGUACUUCAUUUAACUAGGAGAAAAAUCAUUUACUGAAUGAUGUGUUUUUCCCUAAGAAGCAAAUCUUUCAUCAAUGGAUUCAGUAGGUGCCUGUGUAGGAGCACAUGGUGGAAAUCUUACGAUCUAUGGUGUCCCUUGAGGCUACCAUUUAAAGAGGGGUAGAGGCAGUGCUAAAGUUGAUAGAAGAGAUAAGGGGGAGAUAAGCUUUUGAGGACUAUGCAUUAUCUAAGGGGCCAUAGGAAGGACAGUGAUUAUUUUAUUUGGUGAUCCAAUUGUCUGUCUUUGGAAAAUAAUAGGAUGAAGAGUGAAAGUCACAAACAAUACCUUUCUUACUGCCCAGGUACAAAUGAGUUAUUUACAAUCUCUGCUGUCUUUAGGUUUGGGUUUUUAUUUUUCUCUGAACUACAGAUUAAACCUUAGAAAGGUUUUUCAUGGAAGAGGGAGAAACUAUUAAAAGGGCUCACUUACUUGCAAAUGUUUGCAAGCAACUAUAUUAUUUGUUCCCUUCAAAGGGAUCUCCUUGAGAGACUAUAAGCUUAUUAACAUAGAAUUUCUAAGUUGUAGAUUUUUAGAACUUUUUUCGAAGUUGGAUUUGAAAUGUUCCUUACAUACCAUUAAAUCAUUCAUUUAAUAAGUCUGUUGAAUACGUGUUAUAGGUUGAGUACUGUGAAGAGCUUGGGAAAUAAUUGAGUAAGUUGCUUAGCUCCCCAAAGAUAUUUACCAACUCUCCAAGAUCACAGACAAAUAAACCAGGUGCUUUCUCCAUGACCUUGAUUAAUAUAAUGGAAGACUUAUGGAUAGAAUAUAAAGGCUAUGAGACUGGAUUUUAAGAUUUCAUCUACAUAAUGUUUAUCAGAGAUUCUAAAAUAAAAGGUUUUGGAAAGUUUGAAGAUAAAAAUAAAAGCCCAAAUAAAGUUGUAACUAAAUUAUUAUUAGAAAAAAAUGGACUUGAAUACUAAAGACAUUCCUGGUUACAGAGACAAUCACUGCAAAAUAACAUGAGGUUUAGUUCAUCAAGAUGAUAUGAAAAAUUUAAUUUGUUAUUGCCUCAAAAUAGACAAAGCAAAAAUCGAUAGACGUACAAAGAGAAUUGAAAAUUAUACACUACAGUCAUAUGGAGGAUUCAAAUGUGUCUCUCUUAGGGAAGAAGAGUGUUACUGUAAAUUUUGUAGUUGGUGUCUCUGAGUGAGAAGGAGAAGUUUUCACUAGGAAGAGGCUAAAUAAGGAGCUUUGGGGGUUUCAGAGUGUUUUACAUAUUGCUCUAGGUGGCAUUUAUGCAAGAAUACAUUUUAUAAUGAUUGAACAGAGAUUAUAAACGUUACUUAUGUUUCUGAAUGUAUAUCACAAAUAUAAAAAUAUUAAGUAAAUGAAAAUUCAGAAAGAUAAGCAGCCAGCAUUAAGAAGGUAAAAUUCUUCUAAAAGAAGGAAAAAAUAAGGGCAUAAUGUUUUGAAAGGAAAAUGCAGAAAGCAUACCAAGAAAGAUGAGUGAGCAGCUGUGUCACAGGCUCAUGAUAAAUCAUGAACACAACUAGUGGCAUUCACAUGAGGACUGACCAAGAGUGGGCUUUGCCCUUGGAGACAAGGACAUGUGUGUUUGGGCAGAACCUGAUUGGAGGGGCUUGAGAAGAAACAGAGGAGAGCAUCAGAGGGUGUCAUGGUGUUAGGUAGGACUCCUGUAACAAAGAACCACAAACUAGGUAACUUAAACAGCAGAUAUUUAUUAUCUCCCAGCUCUUGAGGAUGGAAGUUCAAGAUCAAAGUGCAGGUAGGGUUGGCUCUUUCUGGACGCUCUGAGGAAAGGUUUGUCCUUGCCCCUUUCCUGGCUUCUGGUGUUUGCUGGCAACUUGGUAUUCCUUUGCUUCUGUUGCAUCACUCUGAUCGCUGCCCCAUUCUCACACAGCAUUCUGUCUGUGUAUACUCUCAUUUCCAUUUCCCCUCCCAUAAGGUCAACAGUCACUUUGGAGUGGAGUAUACCCCCGCCCCAAUAUGACCUCAUCUUAACUAAUUACAUCUGCAAUGACCAAAUUUCCAAAUCAGGUCACAUUUGGAGGUCAUGAGCAUAGUCUUCAAUAUAUAAAUUUUGGAGAGGCACAAUUCAACCCAGAGCAACAAGUAUGAGUAUAUUAGUCAGCUUUCUCUUAUUGUGAUGAAAUAACGGAUAUAAUCAAGUUAAAAGGAGGAAAGGUUUAUUUUAGCUCACAGUUUCAGAGGCUUCAGUUCAUCAUCAUUUGGACCCAUUACUUUGGGUCUUUGGUGGCACAGUAAAUCAUGGAAGGAGUGUGGUAGCAGAGACCUAUUGUUAUGGCUUAGAUCUAGAAUGUCCCCCUAAAUUCUCAUAUGUUGAAGGUGAUUCACUCAUGGGGGCACUAUACUCAUGAGUGGAUUAAUUCACUCAUAAGUUUGCAGCUGAAUGUGCUAUUAGGGGAUGGGGCCUGGUCAGAAGGGCCUGGUUAUUGGGAGCAUGACCUGGAAGGGUGUAUCUCCCUCUGGUUCCUCCCUCCACUCUGUUUCCUGGUCGCCAUGAGAUGAGAAGCUUUCCUCCACCAAACCCUCCCACAUGCUCUUCCUGCCAGGUGACAUUGACUGAAUUUUGUCAAAACUGUGAGCAAAAAUAAACCUCUCCUCUUUUAACUGUGCAUGUUGAGUAUUGUGCUUCAGUGAUGAGGAUAAUGACUAAGACCCCUGUUCACCUCAAGAAAAGAAAAACAAGAAAAGAAAAAGCAAGAAAACAAAGCAAGAAAAGAAAAACAAGAAGCAAGGAAAGAAAAAGAGAAGCAAGCAAGAAAAACAGAAAGGAGCUGGGAGUCCCAAUAUCCCCUUCAAAGUCACAGUGCCAGUGGUCAAAGUUUCUACCACUGUGCCCUAUCUCCUAGUGGUUCUACUACCUCCCAAUAGCACAGCAGACUGGGGACCAAGCCUUCAAUGCAUGGGACUUUGUGGUGCAUUUUGGAUCCAUGCAACACAGAAAUCGGCUGUGCUAGAAGGAGGCAUAGAAAAAGUGUACAUUUUUAAAAGACGGGAUGAUUAAGAGCUUGUUUAUAUAUUGACCGAAAUUACCUGAUAGAAAGAAGCAGAACUGAUGAUUCAAGACAGAGAGGGACUGCUUGAAGGGUGUCCUCGGGUGAUAAGAGGUGAAAGAUUCACCACCUAAGCAGAAGCAUGAGCCAAAAGAUGAGUGAGCACAUGACCAUGGUAACAGGAGGGAAGGCAGACAACUGGGCAGGAUGAGAUCUGUUGGCAAACAUGGCAAUGGGAUGGUAUGCAAGUCUUCCUUCCUUCCUUCCUUCCUUCCUUCCUUCCUUCCUUCCUUCCUUCCUCUCUCUCUCCUUCCCUCUCUCCCUCCCCCCCUCCCUCUUUCUCCUCUCUUAUUUGUCUGAGAAUAGAAAGAAGCUGAUAGGAGAAGAAGAGAUGGAGGUUUGCCAAGGGAGAUGUGAAAUGCCUUCAUAGAAUAAUGAAAAGAAAUGUUUUAGGAUUGCCAAGGUACACUAAGGGCUCGCUGUAGAGUAGAAGCAGUGAAUUGAAGUCUGUGUGUUUGAGUGCUGGUCUCCAGCCUAGUUAGCUCUGGGGGUCAGGUACAGAGUAUGCACAGAGUUGGAGUAAGAUAGGGACUGUUCUACCAGGUUGAAUACCAUAGAGUGAGAGAGGCAAAGGAAUUGAGGGAAUUUGCAAAGGAGUGAUUAAAGGUCAGUUCAUCAAAUCCAGGUUAAAGAAGGAAGUAAGGACAUCUGGGAGUUAGGGAUAGUGGAUCAAUGGAUUGAGAGUCUUAGCAAGGUGAGAAGUCUGAGAACUGAGGUAAUGCAGAACACAUUGGGAAGAUGGCACGUUUUCUUUGUUCAUCAUUCCCCAUGGCGCUGCAUGGUAACAUGGUCUAUUUAGAGGGCCUGUGGGACCUGCUCUCUUAUCCCUAUCCUCUUCUCUGGCCUUUCUGCUGUUCCUCUUCUCAGCUAUCUUUGGCCACACUAUUCUACUCUCUGUCCCUGUAAUAUCCUAAUUAGGUCCUGUUUUGGGCCCUUUGCAUUUGCUAUUUAUUUUUAAAAAUUUUUAAAUUUUUUGGUUUUUUGAGACAGUGUCUCACUACGUAGUUCAGGCUGGCUCUGAACUCACUAUCUAGCCCAGGCUGGCCCCAAACUCACUAUGAUCCUCCUGACUCAGCUUCCCAAGUGCUGGGAUUACAGGCGAGUGCCACCACGCUUGACAUUGCUAUCUAUUCUUUCAGGAUCUCUUCUAGGUCUCUGCCUGGUUUGGUUCUGUGCCAGUGCAGGUCUUUGCUGAGAUAUUGUGUGUGUGUGUGUGUGUGUGUAUCUCUGGCCACUUUUAAAAAAAGCAGACCCCAGCUGGGCAUGGUGACACCUGCCUGUAAUCUCAGCACUUUGGGAGGAUGAGGCAAGGGGAUUGCAAGUUUGAGUCUUGCCUGACAAGUAAGAUUCUGCCUACUACACCAGUAAUGAAAAAAAAAAUAGCGGAUUCCUCCCAAGACUUCCUAACCCCUGCUCCUGCUUCCUUUGUCCUAUAAGUCUUUAUCAUUCCACUAAAUGCCACAUAUAUGGUCCAUCUCCUUCAGUACCAUGCCAGUUCGAUAAAGGUGCAGAUUUCCUACCAUUUUAGUCUAUUUUGUAUUGCCAACAUCUUAAACACUGCCUAGUGUGUACUGAUCUGUUGAAUGAAUGAAUGAAAGAAAGAAAGGGGACAGUGAACAAAGAGUAUAAGGUUUAAACCUGAACUUAGGAAGAACAAUUAUAGAUAAUUUGUGGAAAAGUCUAGAGUAAGAUAUUAUGUGUAUGGCAGACAUAGAGAAAAAAACUGGAGAAGGGGAUGCCAAAGAUUUGUGAGUGCAUCAAGGGUUUUGUCUAACUAAGUAUUGCAAAGUUAUGGUGCAGAGUGUUGGAGAGAGUGACAAGGAAGGAGUAGGUAUAACUCAGGGAUGCGGAGCCCACUGAUGACAUCAAUGAGGGUGAUAUGUUGUCUAAUGGGCUUCAAGGGUAGAGAGUUUAGGGAAGAUAAAGGGAACUUGGUAGAGCAAGGAGGAUACCUACGGCAUCUCCACGCCCCACGGGAUGGGAAAAUAGUCACCAGUGGAGAGCCACAAGGAAGCAGUGUCCACGGAGGCCAGAGUUUCAGCAAAAAAAACCAACCAACAACAACAACAACAACAACGAAACAACAAAAAAGGAAACUUUUGGAAGAAAAGUUAUUCAUAGAGGAUUUUGCUGACAGCACCUUGUAGUUUUAAAGGCCAGAGAGGAAAAGGUUUUUAGGAGUUGGGGUAAAAUUAGUAACAAACAGAGCUUUGAGAGAAGGAGAAUCGGGCUGAUGACCCUGAAAGUCCGAGGCUUCUAGUGAUGACCAAUGACACCUAUUCAUUCCGGAAUACACAAGCAGCUUCUCAAGGGCACCACUUAGAUCAGUGCUAUUAUCAAUGCCUUAUUGGAGGAGAAGAGACCAAGACCCAGAAGGCUCCCUAUCUUAUCUGACUCUGCCCAGGAGAAUUCCAAAACUCACUCUGAAGUGUUGCACCACUUUUGCACUGUCUAGACCUGAAUCAUGGCAGGCUCAAUAAAGAGCUCACCAGUGAGCUCUUCUUUCAUUCUUCUUUCAUUCAGAAUCACUCCUGUCUAUUGCCAGAAAUGAAAUAUUGAGAAAAAAGCAAAGAAAGUUUAUCAUGACUGAGGAAAGAAUAGUACUUCAACAUUUAUUGAUCAUCUGUGAGUGACAGCUUCAUAGACUUUGUGUUUUUAAAGAUCUCUUAUGAUGUGGGUAUUCCUGUUUUCACAGAUGAGGAGACUGAAGUUCAGAGAAGUGGCUGCAUGUCUGAGGUCACAAAAGGCAGGGCUUGCGAUUUAAAACCUGUGCUAUUUCUAGGAUACCAACCAAUGACAUUACACUUACAUUACCACUUGAUCCAGAUAACUAUAUUAAGAUUAUAGCAUAGAGAUCAUGUGAAUGUUAAGACUUUUCAAGAUGAUGAUUGGAUAAUUCAAUUCCAAAAUGUAAUUCCUGACUUGAGAAUAAGCACACUGCUUUCCGACAUGAUGGCGUGGAAAGAACAGUGCUCCUGUGGAUCAUUUAACGUUUUAUCUACAGAAAGAAAACAUUAUUGUGGCUUCAGUUUACAUGCUUCUAUUUAUAUUGCUGUAAGCAGAUCACUGUGUUUACAAAGGCCAGUUCUUCAAGACUACUUUUCCCAUUAGCAAUUAGUUCAAUGCUUUAGAUUGUAAAAUAAAAUGUAUAUUAAUUAUUUUUGAGUGAGAAUUUUUGUUUUGAAAUGUUUUCCUUUUUGUUUCCUCUAAAAAAUCCUCUCAGUCUUUUUUAUUAGACUCAGAAAACCCUUCUCAUUCUAUUUGCACAUCAUCCAAUUUCAGGCUCUUCAAAGUUGGCAGGCCUGGGAGAGGUCUUUACUAUACUGGUGAAUCAUAUAAGGACACAUUUAUUUGCUUUGAUUUUUAAAGACAUUCAGGAGGGAAAAGGGCAGUGAACGUUUGGUUAUUUACUGCCGGCCUGACUCUGUGUGUGGUUUCUGACUUCAGCGUCCUGUCUGUGUUGACUGUACCUUCACGUUUCAGCGCCCCUCAAAGGGGGCUGUUUGCUCCUGGAGCUAUCUGUCCAUCAAAUCAGGAGCCAACUCCCAGAGCCUAAGCCUGAGCCCAGGCAUGUCCAAGAGACAUCUCUAUCAGGCCCUCCCCAAUGGUGAUUCUUUCAUUCUGCCAUGGGCAGCUGCUUCCACACAGCAGGUACCUUAGACAGCGAAUCCCAGCUCACCCUUAGCUCAGCUGUGUCUGGUCUGGAAAGCUUGUUCUUUGGCCUGUGCAUUUCUGUAGCUGAGACUGCAUUUGUAAGACACCAGGUUCCAUUCAUGCACAGAGGCUGCACAGCACAGCACAGGUGGCCUCUGUGGCUGUACAGCUCUCCCUACAGCCUCACAGAUCCCUAGUCUCCUUGUUACAACUGGAACAUUUAAUCCAUUGCAUUUAAAAACUGUAUGGAGGUAAAAUGCAUGUGGAAUCAACUUUUUGACAGAUGCAUGAAAGCAGUCAACAUACAUAACAUUGUCAUCAUCUUGCCCAAGUUUCUGCUACGCUAUAGAACAUCAUUCACCUCUGCCUGUGGUCUCAGACUACCUCUGAUCUGCUUUUUGUCCCCACAGAUUAGGUGGCAUUUUCUAGAAAUGUGUGUCAAUGGCAUCAUUAAGCAAGUACUCCUUUGUGUUUGACUUCCUUCAUUUAGGAUAAUGAUGCUGAGAUUUGCUGAGCUUCUUGAACUUUGAUGUCUUCUACCAAAUCUUUGAGGACCCCUAGUCAAGCUUCCAAGCAAGACCAAGUCCCAACCCAUGUUGGGUGUGAGAGAAAAGAAUGCGAGGAAUGAAAAUUGGAAGUGAUUUCAGUCCUUACCUCUUAGAUACUUUUCUGCCUCAUUCCUUUUAUCCUCUCCUUCUGAAGACAAGUUAGAUUGAGAAUUUUCCCACAAAUUCAAGACUCUUUUAAUUUGUUUUCAAUCUUUUAUGUCUUUGUUCUUCAAAAAGUUUAAUUUCACCUUUAAGAUCAUUGAUUCAUUUUCCUGUCUAUUCUACUAUUAAACUGAUGGAAUAGAUUAGUCAUUCUCAGAUGUGCAUUGUAUUCUUUAGAGUAGGGAACAGGGAAAGGGAACAUUACCAGAACCUCUGCAGUAAGUCCUAGUCUCCUGAGAGCCACGGCAGUACACGGCGAAUUACAGGAAAGGUAGAAACAUGAGACUGAGGAGAAGCUGAGCUUUGGGUCUGAUCAGUGCUGCUCUGGGUGGCAAAGACGAAAGCCCCCAGCUUACCGCACCUUUUACUCUGUACUCAGUACAUCGGGAGAAACAAAUGUAACAAGUGACUUGCCGAGAGUUCAGUACAUCCUGCGUAAAUAAGAUGUAACAGUCCAAGAUCAAGGAGGAACUGAGUAGAUGUUUGUUCCUCCCAGGAUGUUCUCAGCUCCCAGGAUGUUUCUUUUCCUGGAGAAUCACAGACAGCAUCACCAGAUCAUUGAGGUCUCAGUUGUGACCAGAGGCCAAAAUGGAGUUAUGUCUCAGAAUUCCAUAGCUGGGCUGUAGGCAAGAGAACUAGGCUAACCAAAUGAUUUUUCCCUAAAAUUAUGUAGCAUCGCUCAUAAUUAUGUAGCAUCGCACACUUUAAGUCCAAAGUUUCCAUUUGGUCUUUUUUUCUGUUUUCUGUUCUUCUGCUAAGAUUCCUAUCCUUGUGAGAAUAUUUUAUAUUUCCUCACUGAACACAGUGGUAACAGCUAGGAUGUCUUCUCACCUUCAGUUGAGUUUUCCAGCUUUAAACUGGGAUAUUUCCUGUCCACUUUGCAGAGUUUGUACACCAUGGUGGGUUCUCUUCUUUCUGGAAUGCCUCCACAUUUUUCCAGUGGUGCUGACAACUGUAGUUAUUUUUCCUCUGGACAGAAAGAGGACAAGUUUUCUUUCAGAAACCACUUGAUACCAACAGCACCAUCACAGCUCACCUGAGGGCCAGAGCCACUAAGGUGGGGCACUCACUGGGCACCAAUCCCUUCUUCCAAGUUCCAGCUCCUUGCAAAUCCUGUCAGCCCUUUUUCCCACCUCACAGAGGCCUCAGAUAGAGUGUCAGUAUUUUCUCCAGAGUUUGUAUUUAUUUGCAAGGGGGCCAUUCAGAUGGGAAAUUAUACUAUGUUAUAUUAUACUGUUAUACUAUAUUACUAUACUAUAGUAUAUAUUAUACCUUUUAGAAGUGAGACUCAGUUAGCCACUGCCUUUUGUUAUCUUGGGCAUGGGUGUGAAUUUUAGUCCAUAAACACAGGUAUAUGAGAACCCAAGUAUUUGAUAUAAUUCAAGUUUAUUUGUAUAUAGAGCCCCCAACUGCACACUUGUUCCCUACUCCUAGGUUCAUGUGAUACAUCAUGAACAUGGUCCAAACAGGUUCCUGUGGACUCAUCUUUUAUUGCUGUAUAUGUGGCCCCAUCAAAUCACCCGACUCACUGCUGCUCCUUACCACACUGGCUUGGGUACUUGGGUUGCAGCAUGCAGAGACAGGGGAGCUGCCACUUCUGCUCCAGAGUCACACUCUUUCUGGUGAAAUCAUUGGGAGGGAGGCAUGGACCCCCACACCUCUUUUGUCUUCCAGUCCUCUCCAUUCCUCUGUCCACAAAGGGGAACUUGGUCCUCUGGAACAAAUUCUUCUUUCAAGUUUCUUCAAGACACUUUUUUUCUCUGUAAUGUCCAGUGUUUUCUUAGGAAGUUAGGCUUUUGGAAUAUCAGAGAAAGGAAGGUGUAUGAGCUAUCUUUGUUUCCACCAUGCCAAAUGCUUUCCUCAAAGCUAUGAGCUCAGAGCUGGCUAAGAGCUUACAUAAAGCAGAAUGGGGGAGUUUGGGGAAAGAAAAAUCACAGGAGGAAGAAAUCCCAUAGCUUGAUCUCUCCAACAUUAUUCAGACAGGGGAAAUGGCUUACUCAUCCCUGGGUCUCCAGUAAGCAUCUCAAUGCCUGACACAUGAUGAUUUUUCAAUAAAUGUUUACUAAAUGAAAGAGCUAAUUCCUUAUAUAAUAUGGGGAAGUAUCAAGAUUAUGACCCUCUGUUCUCUGAGCUAGAAAAUGAGGAUAAUGAUGCUGAUGUCACAGUGUUGUCAUAGGAUUAGAUGAGAUUAUACACACCUUGUGAAGAGUUUUCUAAUUGUAAUGUUUUAUUGCUGUUAUUAUAAAUGUUCACUGAGCUGAGAUAGAACUGGCUGGUGUCUUUGACUAAAGUCUGGGUGAUUCCAGGCAGAUCCAGUCAACUGGAAACUUUCUUUUAUCUUUCUCCCGGAGAAGCUGUACAAUUUUAAUGUAUUUUUUUUUUGCUCUCCAAAUUAUUUAUCCUCCUGAUAACAGUUUUUAUGUCAGUUUGCUCGAUUAUUACUGGAUGACAAGGAUCUAUUUUGGAUUAGAUUCGACCCAGCAUGGAGUAACUGGUUCAGACUUGAGAAAAAUGAGGACAUUAUUGUAUCUCAUCUUUAAGGCAUGCUUUGGCUGUUUGCAUAUUUUCCUUAGACUUUAAACUGAGUUCUAAUCAUGUGAUAUGUUAAGGUAUACUUGUAAUGAACCUUUUGAAUAUGGGUAGAAAAUUCUUUCUGGAAUUCCUGGUGAAGUAAAGAGUGAAUAAUCUGUAUCUGUAGUUGGAACCUUUAUAAAUGGGUUCAGGGUUUAAUAAGAAUUUAUAAUUCUGAUGUUCUUUGUGUAUGAAAAGGACAUCAUUCAUUUCUGAAGAACUCAGUGAUAGGAUGGGCUGGCUGGUACUCAAUGUUCUGGUGUCUUUCAUGGAGCUCAUUAGGAUGUGGCAGAUUGCAUACUCUCUUUUCAAAAAUCCUGAACACCAGCAAACACCUGAACCUUAAACUGAAGCUUAGGACUGAACCAUGCAAUAAGGUUAAGGUCAGGGUUUGAGGGACAGAGUGAUGGACACAAAUUCUAUGAAAGGCCGACAGAAAAGUCUUCAGUCCCUAUGGACCCAGGGGAUGAGGGAUAUGAGCCAAGCUUGGAAGUGAGCUCCAGGUCCCAAUUGUCUCUGUGUGGAAGUGGGGCAAAGACAAUGGGGGAUGAUGGCUGUUUUGGGAGGGAAUCUGCAAGCCUUGAAGAUCAGCAUGGAGAGGACAAAGGCAGAAACAGAAGGUCUAGGUCCUGAAGGAUUGGAAACACCUUGCCUUUGGACGAAAUGCCUCAUCUUUGAGCCAGAGGUCUUCCAGUUCAAUUGGUAAAUUUUUUUUGAAUGCAAGACUUUGUAUGAAAUGAUGGGAUAAAGGAGAAAGUUUAUAUUCCACCACUACCUUCUGGAAUUUUUUUUAUUGAUAUUGCAUACACUGAUGCACACCCACAUGCACGCACACACGCAGAGUUGCUUUUAGGACCACUUUCAUAUGCAUUAUAGUAUGGAUGCUAGAGUUACAGUCUGAGGGCUGGUCCUGGCACCACCAUCAGAAGAUGUGUUUCACUAGGAAAAUUACCUAACCUUUCUGUGCUUUAGUUACAUUGUCAGUGAAAAUAAAAUAAUAGGGCCUAUUCACAGGGUUGGUGUGAGGGUGAAAUGAGCUAUUUUGUGUAAAAGUCUUGGAGCUUUGGCUGGCAUGAACUGAGCAACUGCUCUCUAUUUACUGUCUUUCUGUAGAGAUGGGAAUAUUGGGAGCCAGAUCCAUACAGGGACAAUAGUGGGUAAUUAUGGGUGAUCCCAAGUGGUGUUAAUUUAGUUGAACUCAGCGAGGAGGGAAAGAGGGUAGGAGAGCUAGUGGGAGAGCUCAAGAGGGCAGCUCUAAGAGCCUAGUAAGAAGACAUCAAAGGCCUCAAUCUAGUAAGAAAGGACAGCUGGGUGCUGGGCAGAAAGCAUAGUACCAGGGAACUGAGUACGGAUCCCAUAAGGUUAGCAAAACAGUCUACACCAUGAGGUUUAGCAGAUGUGAAUGGGCAUCAAGGUCCUGAGGUAAGAAGGAAUGUACUGCAGUAUGGACUCUAGGCAGAGGCUACUGAACCCUUAGAGGGGGGAUGGCUUACAUUUCUUUUGCUCUUGGAAGAACCUAGGUGUGGUAUGAAGCCUGGCUGAGCUAGGAAGGCAUUGAAACCCAAUAACGUUGCUUCUGUGGCUACUACUGUCACUACUGAUGAUGUUGUCUGUUGAUUAUGCAUCAGGAACUGUAUUAAGCACUUCAUUCACUUCCUACCAUGGAACCAUAUUGCCCCAUCUUUUCAGGUGGAAAAAACACAGAAAUUAAAUGUCUUACAAAGAUCACAGAUUAGUGAGUGCUUGACAGCUAGACCUCAACUCUUCACUACUUAAUAUACUGCCUCCUAAAACUUGGAACAGAGCUGUCUGGUGUCAGAGAGAGAGAGAGAGAGAGAGAGAGAGAGAGAGAGAGAGAGAGAGAGAGAGAGAGAGAGAGAGAGGCAGAGACCAAACAGAGUGGAGUUACAGGAAUUCAAUAAAACUUAUGUCUGGCAGAGAGGUCAGGAGCAGGGUAAAGCAAAGAAAGAAAACCAUACCAACAGAGAAACAAGUUGAUGUCAGCACUCCAAUUCAGUGAAUGUGUGAUUCAGACCUAUGGUGAGCAUCAGACCAAGGACUGGAAUCAGCCAUCCUCUGGGGAGGGAUUGGUUUCUGAUUGUUUCUCAAGGGGAGCUGGGGUUGGAGUAUCUCUUGCUGUAGAGUAAUUGUAGCAUGUAAAUGCAUAUAGUCAGUAUGAUGUGGGCUUCACAAGCAAGCCAAGUGGGUCACCUUUAAUUUCAGUAGAAGAAACCACUGUCUCUUCUACAGCUGGAGGAAAAACUGACUGGGUUAGAACUUCUGAGAGAUGGUCUAUAGAUUUCCAACAUGGUGCUUGCUUGAGGAAUCAGCAUGAAUACUUUUGAAUGUUAAUCAUCUACAUUAGUAACUUUCCUGUGGAUGGGACAAAUUACCUGACACUUGAAAUUCGAAGGAGGAUAGAUUUAUUUUGGCUCACCGUUUCAGUGGGUUUAGUCCAUGGUUGGCUACUUAAAGGCAGAAAUGACAUGGUGCAAGGGCAUGGCAAGAGAAAGCUGCUCACCUCAUGGAAACAGAGAGAGGAAGGAGGAGAAAGCAACAAGAAUACACCCUUCUAGGUCACAUCACUAGUGGCCCAACUCAAAGACAUUUUAGAUCUAACCAUAACAUCAUCUUUCCUUGAUGCUGACCAGUUUCUUGAUUUAAGGCAUCUCUUUUUCCUUAUACUGGAAAUUAGCAAGAAAGAGCUAUAGUGAUGUUCUUAGUAAGUUAUCAAACUCAAAAUAAAGGGCAUGCCAUGUGAUCCAGUGUAUUUUCUAUUUUCCAUGUACAGUCAGUCCUCCAUAUUUUAGGGUUCCACAUUUUUGCAUUCAGCUAAACUGCCAAUAAACAUACUAAAGAAAUUGCAUUCAUACUGAACAUGUAUAAACUUUUUUCUUGUUAUUAUUCCCAAAACAAUACAAUACAAUAACUAUUUAUGAGCAUUUACAUUGUAUUAGGUAUUACACAUAAUCUAGAGAGGAUUUAAGGUAGACAAACUAUAUGUAAACACCGUGCCAUUUUAUACAAGGCACUUGAGCAUCCCAUGAUUUUGGUAUCCCAAGG